rnacentral:rRNA from 1 species
CACCGCGGUUAUACGAGAGGCCCAAGUUGAUAAACACCGGCGUAAAAUGUGGCCAUAUACAGUAUUACACUAAAGCUAAACAUCUUCAAAACUGUUACACGUACCCGAAGACAGGAAGUGCUUCCACGAAAGUGGCUUUAAACAAUAUUAACCCACGAAAGCUAGGACA